UGCACUUCAGCAGCAAUAUACUAAAAUUGGAAUUAUACAAAGAAGAUAAGCACGGUCCCCAGACUAGAAUGGCAUGCAAAUUUGCAAAAGCACUCCAUAUUUUA
rfam:Tupaia chinensis contig206109, whole genome shotgun sequence.